UUGUAUGGGGGAUCACCCCGCCCGGGGGAAUUUUUUCCGGGGCUUUGUACACCCCGCCGGUCCCCCCAGGGAAUUUUGCAAUCCCCGAAGUGGGGGGGAUACCCUUAAGGAAUUCACCCCCUUAGGGCGGGGAAGAUGAUGGGGGGGAGUUGUUACCAGGGUACCGGUGGGAGACCUGGGGGGGGAUUCCCUUCUUUUUUAGGGAGGCCAGGCAUUGGGGGGGCGGAAUUGUUAAAAAAGGCUUGUGGGUUCGGGAGCCCCAUGGAAAGGAACUUUGUUUUGUUUUGGGGGGUCCCACUUUUCAAGUUUGUCGUUGGAAACUGGAUUAUUUAUUCCAGGAAAAACCGAGACAUCAUUGUAGACAAUGAAUAGAUUGCAAAGCGACCGAGAGAGAGUUCGAAAGAACUAAGACUUGAUAGAGGUCAAGUGAAGAAGGGCGCACGGUGAAUGCCUGGGCACUGGAAGCCGAUGAAGGACGUGACGAACCACGAAAGUCUCGG
rnacentral:misc_RNA from 1 species